rnacentral:tRNA from 1 species
GGCUCGUUGGUCUAUGGGUAUGAUUCUUGCUUUGGGUGCGAGAGGUCCUGGGUUCAAAUCCCAGACGAGCCC